rnacentral:rRNA from 1 species
AAAGAAAAUAACAAUGAUUCCCUUAGUAACGGCGAGUGAAGGGGGAAAAGCUCAAAUUUUAAAUCUGCUAGGUUUUACCUGUCAGAAUUGUAAUUUGAAGAAGCGUUUUCCGCGUCUCGGUUGGCCCAAAUCCUUUGGGAUAAGGUAUCAUGGAGGGUGAGAAUCCCGUUCGGUUGACCUUAUGACGCACUACGAUACGCUUUCUAAGAGUCGAGUUGUUUGGGAUUGCAGCUCAAAAUGGGAGGUAAAUUUCUCCUAAGGCUAAAUAUUGGCGAGAGACCGAUAGCGAACAAGUACCGUGAGGGAAAGAUGAAAAGAACUUUGAAAAGAGAGUAAAAUAGUACGUGAAAUUGUUGAAAGGGAAACGAUUGAAGUCAGUCGUACCGACGAGAAAUCAGCUUAUCGUGUGUUAACUUGUGGGCGUGCGUGAGUUUCGGCCUCGCUGUUUGCAUGUUUGUGCGCUUUGGGUGUACUUUUUCGUAUGGUUGGCCAACAUCAGUUUCGAUCACUAUAAAAUGACUGGCGGAAUGUAGCUUCGAUUUCGGUUGAAGUGUUAUAGCCUCUGGUAGAUGUGGUAAUUGGGACUGAGGAUUGCAACGAAUAUCCUUUGGGCUAUCCGUCUGGCCUCUGAAAGUUGCUUGGGUGCUGAAGCUUGCUUAUGGUUAUCUAAGUUAACGGUCAAUAGGUUAGAACGUGAUUACAUU